rnacentral:tRNA from 1 species
GCUCCGGUGGCGCAAUCGGUUAGCGCGCCGUACUUAUAGACAAGUACCCUCCCCUUGCUUGCAAGGGUAUAAGAUAUGCGGAGGCUGUGAGUUCGAUCCUCACCCGGAGCA